rnacentral:pre_miRNA from 1 species
CAUGUACUCCCUCCGUCCGAAAAUACUUGUCAGAGAAAUGAAUAAAAAUGGAUGUAUGUAAACUAAAUAUGUCUAGAUACAUCCAUUUCUCUGACAAGUAUUUCCGUACGGAGGGAGUACAAC